UCGUAUUAAUACCGCAUACGACCUACGGGAGAAAGGGGCUCAGUUUACUGCUCUCGCUAUUAGAUGAGCCUAAGUCGGAUUAGCUAGAUGGUGGGGUAAAGGCCUACCAUGGCGACGAUCUGUAGCUGGUCUGAGAGGAUGAUCAGCCACACCGGGACUGAGACACGGCCCGGACUCCUACGGGAGGCAGCAGUGGGGAAUAUUGGACAAUGGGGGAAACCCUGAUCCAGCCAUGCCGCGUGUGUGAAGAAGGCCUUUUGGUUGUAAAGCACUUUAAGCAGUGAAGAAGACUCCUCGGUUAAUACCCGUGGACGAUGACAUUAGCUGCAGAAUAAGCACCGGCUAACUCUGUGCCAGCAGCCGCGGUAAUACAGAGGGUGCAAGCGUUAAUCGGAAUUACUGGGCGUAAAGCGAGCGUAGGUGGCUUGAUAAGUCAGAUGUGAAAUCCCCGGGCUUAACCUGGGAACUGCAUCUGAAACUGUUAGGCUAGAGUAGGUGAGAGGAAGGUAGAAUUCCAGGUGUAGCGGUGAAAUGCGUAGAGAUCUGGAGGAAUACCGANUGGCGAAGGCAGCCUUCUGGCAUAAUACUGACACUGAGGCUCGAAAGCGUGGGUAGCAAACAGGAUUAGAUACCCUGGUAGUCCACGCCNGUAAACGAUGUCUACUAGUNCGUUGGGUCCCUUGAGGACUUAGUGACGCAGCUAACGCAAUAAGUAGACCGCCUGGGGAGUANCGGCCGCAAGGUUAAAACUCAAAUNGAAUUNGACGGGGGNCCCGCACAAGCGGUNGGAGCAUNGUGGUUUAAUUNCGAUGCAACGCNGAAGAANCCNUUNACCUGGUCUUGACAUNAUCNUAGAANUNCCUGCAGAGAUGCNGGGAGUGCCNUUNCGGNAAUUAGAAUANCAGGUGCUGCAUGGCUGUNCGUCAGCUCGUNGUCGUGAGAUGUUGGGUUAAGUCCCNGCAACGAGNCGCAANCCCNUUGUNCCUUNNAGUUACNCAGCGGGNUUAAGCCGGGAACUCUAAGGAUACUGCCAGUGACAAACUGGAGGAAGGCGGGGACGACGUCAAGUCAUCAUGGCCCUUACGACCAGGGCUACACACGUGCUACAAUGGUAGGUACAGAGGGCAGCUACACAGCGAUGUGAUGCGAAUCUCAAAAAGCCUAUCGUAGUCCAGAUUGGAGUCUGCAACUCGACUCCAUGAAGUAGGAAUCGCUAGUAAUCGCGGAUCAGAAUGCCGCGGUGAAUACGUUCCCGGGCCUUGUACACACCGCCCGUCACACCAUGGGAGUUGAUUGCACCAGAAGUGGAUAGCUUAACCUUCGGGGGAGCGUUCACCACGGUGUGGUUGAUGACUGGGGUGAAGUCGUAACAAGGUAACCCAAUCACUAGUGAAUUUCGCGGG
rnacentral:rRNA from 1 species